AAGCCCUGCCUGUCUAAGUAUAAGCACUCUUUUACUGUGAAACUGCGAAUGGCUCAUUAAAUCAGUUAUCGUUUAUUUGAUAGUACCCUACUACAUGGAUACCUGUGGUAAUUCUAGAGCUAAUACAUGCGCAAAACCCCGACUUCGGAAGGGGUGUAUUUAUUAGAUAAAAAACCAAUGCCCUUCGGGGCUCCUUGGUGAUUCAUAAUAACUUCACGAAUCGCAUGGCCUUGCGCCGGCGAUGGUUCAUUCAAAUUUCUGCCCUAUCAACUUUCGAUGGUAGGAUAGUGGCCUACCAUGGUGGCAACGGGUAACGGGGAAUUAGGGUUCGAUUCCGGAGAGGGAGCCUGAGAAACGGCUACCACAUCCAAGGAAGGCAGCAGGCGCGCAAAUUACCCAAUCCCGAUACGGGGAGGUAGUGACAAUAAAUACUGAUACAGGGCUCUUUUGGGUCUUGUAAUUGGAAUGAGAACAAUCUAAAUCCCUUAACGAGGAACAAUUGGAGGGCAAGUCUGGUGCCAGCAGCCGCGGUAAUUCCAGCUCCAAUAGCGUAUAUUAAAGUUGUUGCAGUUAAAAAGCUCGUAGUUGAACCUUGGGCCCGUCCUGCCGGUCCGCCUCACCGCGAGUACUGGUCCGGAUGGGCCUUUCUUUCUGGGGAAUCCCAUGGCCUUCACUGGCUGUGGCGGGGAACCAGGACUUUUACUGUGAAAAAAUUAGAGUGUUCAAAGCAUGCCUUUGCUCGGAUACAUUAGCAUGGAAUAAUAGAAUAGGACGUGCGGUUCUAUUUUGUUGGUUUCUAGGACCGCCGUAAUGAUUAAUAGGGGAUAGUCGGGGGGCGUCAGUAUUCAGCUGUCAGAGGUGAAUUCUUGGAUUUGCUGAAGACUAACUACC
rnacentral:rRNA from 1 species